rnacentral:rRNA from 1 species
AACGAACGCUGGCGGCAUGGCUAAAACAUGCAAGUCGCACGAGAAAGUUCCCUUCGGGGAGCGAGUAAAGUGGCGAAAGGGCGAGGAAUGCAUGGGUAACGUACCCUAAGCACGGGGACAGCCGCGGGAAACUGCGGUUAAUACCCGAUGAGACCACAGUGUCAUAUGGCACAGCGGUCAAAGGGCGGGGUUCCUUCGGGAACCUGUUGGCUUGGGAGCGGCCCAUGUCCUAUCAGCUUGUUGGUGAGGUAACGGCUCACCAAGGCUUCGACGGGUAGCGGGACUGAGAGGUUGACCCGCCGCAUUGGGACUGAGACACUGCCCAGACUCCUACGGGAGGCUG